rnacentral:rRNA from 1 species
CCCCUAGACGUUCUGGGCUGCACGCGCGCUACAAUAAUACGCACAGCGAGUAUCACCGAGCUCGAAAGGGCAAGGUAAACAAUAGAAAAGGUACUGUAAUGGUUAUAGAUCCUUGUAAUUAUUGAUCUUCAACGAGGAAUUCCUAGUAAGUAUGUGUCAUCAUCACGCACUGAUUACGUCCCUGCCCUUUGUACACACCGCCCGUCGCUACUACCGAUUGAAUGGUUUAGUGAGAUCUCCGGAUUGGCUCUGUAGGUCCCGCAAGGGAUUUAUUAGUAGCCAAGAAGCUGCUCAAACUUGAUCAUUUAGAGGAAGUAAAAGUCGUAACA